rnacentral:rRNA from 1 species
AUACGUAGGGGGCGAGCGUUGUCCGGAAUGAUUGGGCGUAAAGGGCGCGUAGGCGGCCCGGUAAGUCUGGAGUGAAAGUCCUGUUUUUAAGAUGGGAAUUGCUUUGGAUACUGUCGGGCUUGAGUGCAGGAGAGGUAAGUGGAAUUCCCAGUGUAGCGGUGAAAUGCGUAGAGAUUGGGAGGAACACCAGUGGCGAAGGCGACUUACUGGACUGUAACUGACGCUGAGGCGCGAAAGUGUGGGGAGCAAACAGGAUUAGAUACCCUGGUAGUCCACACUGUAAACGAUGAAUGCUAGGUGUAAGAGGUAUCGACCCCUUGUGUGCCGGAGUUAACACAAUAAGCAUUCCGCCUGGGGAGUACGGCCGCAAGGUUGAAACUCAAAGGAAUUGACGGGG